rnacentral:rRNA from 1 species
UACGGAGGGAGCUAGCGUUGUUCGGAAUUACUGGGCGUACAGCGCGCGUAGGCGGUUUUUUAAGUCAGAGGUGAAAGCCCAGAGCUCAACUCUGGAACUGCCAUUGAAACUGUUAAACUAGAGGACGAGAGAGGUGAGUGGAAUUCCCAGUGUAGAGGUGAAAUUCGUAGAUAUUGGGAAGAACACCGGUGGCGAAGGCGGCUCACUGGCUCGUUUCUGACGCUCAGGCGCGAUAGCGUGGGGAUCAAACAGG